rnacentral:rRNA from 1 species
GCGUGCUUAACACAUGCAAGUCGAACGAUGAACCUCCUUCGGGAGGGGAUUAGUGGCGAACGGGUGAGUAACACGUGGGCAACCUGCCCCGCACACUGGGAUAAGCCCUGGAAACGGGGUCUAAUACCGGAUAUGACUCAAGGUCGCAUGGUCUUGGGUGGAAAGCUCCGGCGGUGCGGGAUGGGCCCGCGGCCUAUCAGCUUGUUGGUGAGGUAACGGCUCACCAAGGCGACGACGGGUAGCCGGCCUGAGAGGGCGACCGGCCACACUGGGACUGAGACACGGCCCAGACUCCUACGGGAGGCAGCAGUGGGGAAUAUUGCACAAUGGGCGCAAGCCUGAUGCAGCGACGCCGCGUGAGGGAUGAAGGCCUUCGGGUUGUAAACCUCUUUCAGCAGGG